CAGAAUCUGAGUCAGAGGGAGAGGCUGCUGAAGAAGUUCAAACUCUACAACUGCAGCAGGACGUUUCUGAAUGGUGCUCCUGUGGAAACUGUGCAACCAUGCCCACAGAAGCUGAGAACAUCUGCUGCUAGGAGAUACCACAGGUUACCAGAUGGCUAUGGGAGAUCGUGGAAGAUUUACCAUGUAUGGUAGACCGUCCUGGGUUGGAGCCGCUCUGCCUCAAUGUGUUCUGCCUGCAACAUGUACCGCACUGACUAUGGUCCUUUACGGUUGAGAGGAAUACACCAGUACGUUUUGCUUCUUUGUUAAAACAUAGUUUCAAUCUAAAUAAAAGAUGUUAGACAGUCUUGUUUUA